rnacentral:tRNA from 1 species
GGCAAGAUGGCCGAGUUGGUUAUGGCGUGAGGUUAAGGUCUCAAUCUUAGCACAAUUUCCUCAUGGAGCAAUCCGCGUGGGUUCAAGUCCCACUCUUGUCA